rnacentral:rRNA from 1 species
UACGUAGGGUGCAAGCGUUAAUCGGAAUUACUGGGCGUAAAGCGUGCGCAGGCGGUUGUGUAAGACAGAUGUGAAAUCCCCGGGCUCAACCUGGGAACUGCAUUUGUGACUGUAGAGCUGGAGUGCGGCAGAGGGGGAUGGAAUUCCGCGUGUAGCAGUGAAAUGCGUAGAUAUGCGGAGGAACACCGAUGGCGAAGGCAAUCCCCUGGGCCUGCACUGACGCUCAUGCACGAAAGCGUGGGGAGCAAACAGG